GACGAACGCUGGCGGCGUGCCUAAUACAUGCAAGUCGAACGCUUCUUUCCUCCCGAGUGCUUGCACUCAAUUGGAAAGAGGAGUGGCGGACGGGUGAGUAACACGUGGGUAACCUACCCAUCAGAGGGGGAUAACACUUGGAAACAGGUGCUAAUACCGCAUAACAGUUUACGCCGCAUGGCAUAAGAGUGAAAGGCGCUUUCGGGUGUCGUUGAUGGAUGGACCCGCGGUGCAUUAGCUAGUUGGUGAGGUAACGGCUCACCAAGGCCACGAUGCAUAGCCGACCUGAGAGGGUGAUCGGCCACACUGGGACUGAGACACGGCCCAGACUCCUACGGGAGGCAGCAGUAGGGAAUCUUCGGCAAUGGACGAAAGUCUGACCGAGCAACGCCGCGUGAGUGAAGAAGGUUUUCGGAUCGUAAAACUCUGUUGUUAGAGAAGAACAAGGACGUUAGUAACUGAACGUCCCCUGACGGUACCUAACCAGAAAGCCACGGCUAACUACGUG
rnacentral:rRNA from 1 species